rnacentral:lncRNA from 1 species
UGUCUUGAAAAAACAACAACAACAACAAAAAACCAACCAAACAAAAAAAGACUUUGGAUUUUAAAAGAAACCAUGGAUAUUUUAAAGAGACAAUUUUUGAAGUAUUGUAAAUGUAAAGACUGUGAAACUUUUAAAGUACUAUGUCUAUAUUGUGAUAUUAUUAUUAUUUUUAUACUGUCCAUAAUACUUUGUUGGUUUCCUAUUGACCUGGACCCAGCUGGGUGUGCUCAGGGCAAGAUCACUGUUCACCAUAUUCCAGGUGGGUAAUGAGAAAGCCUCAACCUAGACUCCAGCCCCUUCAGAGUGUGGAGGAAGAGCCUGCGUUUUCUGGGCCAGCACAGGACAUCCAGUCCCUGUAAAUAAGCAGGCCCGGGGAGCGAACCAUGCCUGAGAGGAACCCUGCCCAGUGCCAUAACAGCACCCCUGAGACCACUCCCAAGAUGACCCAGGACACCAGAGACCCUGGGUGCCACUAUGAGGAGCAAGUAAGUGGCAGAGAAAUGGAAGAGAAACAGAGGAGGUGUGUUGUGGGUAGCCCUAGGGCUAAUUAUAUUUGAUGUUAAAUCUGUUCUGUGAGUGUGAACAAGGAAUGAAUCAGCACUCAGGUGAUUUCCUGUAAACCUGCUUCCCUCCUUAAUUUGUAAAAUAAAGGCGAGCUGAUUGGGCAGAUAAAAGGGAAGGUGGAGCGGAAGGGGAGAGGGAGAAGAAGAAGAAAAUAGAAGAGGGAGAGCAGGCAGAGGAGGAGGAAGAAGAAAAACAGCACAUAACCUGAGAAACCGGCAUAAUUGGGUUGGAGAGAUUUACUGCAACAGAGGUGGGCACAAUGAAGAGAGGCAGAACUGGAGACACAAGGAUAGUGAGGGUCAACCUGAUCUUACAGAUGCUUUAUGCAGCCGCUGUGUUUCCACCUUUCCCUGUUGUUGGACAGAGAGUCUUGAGGGCAGACCCUGCAUGUCCAAGCACUUUAAUCCUUCACUAACAUUUCCCACGUCAGCCCUUGGGAAGCAUUGGUCGGACUGGAUCUGAAUCAGCACUUGUCCAUUUGCCAAAUGGAGUUCUUGUAUACACUGCUCUGAAAUGAGCAGAGUUUAAAAAUAAAGUAAAAUAAAACCAGA